rnacentral:rRNA from 1 species
AUUGAACGCUGGCGGCAUGCCUUACACAUGCAAGUCGAACGGUAGCGGGCCUUCGGGUGCCGACGAGUGGCGAACGGGUGAGUAAUAUAUCGGAACGUACCUUUCAGUGGGGGAUAACGUAGCGAAAGUUACGCUAAUACCGCAUAUUCUGUGCGCAGGAAAGCAGGGGACCUUCGGGCCUUGCGCUGAUUGAGCGGCCGAUAUCAGAUUAGCUAGUUGGUGAGGUAAAGGCUCACCAAGGCGACGAUCUGUAGCGGGUCUGAGAGGAUGAUCCGCCACACUGGAACUGAGCCACGGUCCAGACUCCUACGGGAGGCAGCAGUGGGGAAUUUUGGACAAUGGGGUCAACCCUGAUCCAGCCAUGCCGCGUGAGUGAAGAAGGCCUUCGGGUUGUAAAGCUCUUUCGGCCGGGAAGAAAUCGUAUCAGCUAAUACCUGGUGCGGAUGACGGUACCGGCAUAAGAAGCACCGGCUAACUACGUGCCAGCCGCCGCAGUAAAAC